GACGAACCGUGCGAACGUUAUUCGGAAUCACUGGGCUUAAAGCGCGUGUAGGCGGAUGGGAACGUCGGUAGUUGAAAGCCCCCGGCUCAACCGGGGAAGUGGUGGCCGAAACGACCCGUCUCGGAGGGACGUAGGGGGACCUGGAACUUCCGGUGGAGCGGUGAAAUGCGUUGAGAUCGGAAGGAACGCCCGUGGCGAAAGCGAGGUCCUGGACGUCUACUGACGCUGAGACGCGAAAGCCAGGGGGAGCAAACGGG
rnacentral:rRNA from 1 species